rnacentral:rRNA from 1 species
GAUGAACGCUGGCGGCGUGCCUAAUACAUGCCAGUCGAGCGAACAGAUGAGGAGCUUGCUCCUCUGACGUUAGCGGCGGACGGGUGAGUAACACGUGGAUAACCUACCUAUAAGACUGGGAUAACUUCGGGAAGCCGGAGCUAAUACCGGAUAAUAUAUUGAACCGCAUGGUUCAAUAGUGAAAGACGGUUUUGCUGUCACUUAUAGAUGGAUCCGCGCCGCAUUAGCUAGUUGGUAAGGUAACGGCUUACCAAGGCAACGAUGCGUAGCCGACCUGAGAGGGUGAUCGCCCACACUGGAACUGAGACACGGUCCAGACUCCUACGGGAGGCAGCAGUAGGGAAUCUUCCGCAAUGGGCGAAAGCCUGACGGAGCAACGCCGCGUGAGUGAUGAAGGUCUUCGGAUCGUAAAACUCUGUUAUUAGGGAAGAACAAAUGUGUAAGUAACUAUGCACGUCUUGACGGUACCUAAUCAGAAAGCCACGGCUAACUACGUG